rnacentral:rRNA from 1 species
AGAGUUUGAUCCUGGCUCAGGAUGAACGCUGGCGGCGUGCCUCACACAUGCAAGUCGAGCGAUUCUCUUCGGAGAAGAGCGGCGGACGGGUGAGUAACGCGUGGGUAACCUGCCCUGUACACACGGAUAACAUACCGAAAGGUAUGCUAAUACGAGAUAAUAUGCUUUUAUCGCAUGGUAGAAGUAUCAAAGCUUUUGCGGUACAGGAUGGACCCGCGUCUGAUUAGCUAGUUGGUAAGGUAACGGCUUACCAAGGCGACGAUCAGUAGCCGACCUGAGAGGGUGAUCGGCCACAUUGGAACUGAGACACGGUCCAAACUCCUACGGGAGGCAGCAGUGGGGAAUAUUGCACAAUGGGCGAAAGCCUGAUGCAGCAACGCCGCGUGAGCGAUGAAGGCCUUCGGGUCGUAAAGCUCUGUCCUCAAGGAAGAUAAUGACGGUACUUGAGGAGGAAGCCCCGGCUAACUACGUGCCAGCAGCCGCGGUAAUACGUAGGGGGCUAGCGUUAUCCGGAAUUACUGGGCGUAAAGGGUGCGUAGGUGGUUUCUUAAGUCAGAGGUGAAAGGCUACGGCUCAACCGUAGUAAGCCUUUGAAACUGGGAAACUUGAGUGCAGGAGAGGAGAGUGGAAUUCCUAGUGUAGCGGUGAAAUGCGUAGAUAUUAGGAGGAACACCAGUUGCGAAGGCGGCUCUCUGGACUGUAACUGACACUGAGGCACGAAAGCGUGGGGAGCAAACAGGAUUAGAUACCCUGGUAGU